GACGAACGCUGGCGGCGUGCUUAACACAUGCAAGUCGAACGGAAAGGCCCUGCUUUUGUGGGGUGCUCGGGUGGCGAACGAGUGAGUAACACGUGAGUAACCUGCCCUUGACUUUGGGAUAACUUCAGGAAACUGGGGCUAAUACCGGAUAGGAGCUCCUGCUGCAUGGUGGGGGUUGGAAAGUUUCGGCGGUUGGGGAUGGACUCGCGGCUUAUCAGCUUGUUGGUGGGGUAGUGGCUUACCAAGGCUUUGACGGGUAGCCGGCCUGAGAGGGUGACCGGCCACAUUGGGACUGAGAUACGGCCCAGACUCCUACGGGAGGCAGCAGUGGGGAAUAUUGCACAAUGGGCGGAAGCCUGAUGCAGCAACGCCGCGUGCGGGAUGACGGCCUUCGGGUUGUAAACCGCUUUCGCCUGUGACGAAGCGUGAGUGACGGUAAUGGGUAAAGAAGCACCGGCUAACUACGUG
rnacentral:rRNA from 1 species